AUCUGCUCCUAGAGAUGCUAGAAUUCUGGAGGAUUUUAUCUUUGAAAACCUUUAAAAUAUUGCAUGAUGAGUUCCUAUAUGAUGAGAGUUUAAAUUCCUACCACAGUCAUAUAUACAUGCUUGCUAGACUUUGAGCCACACAUUUACUUUUUACUGCUUAUGAGCAUUGAGUGUGGUCAAGCUGUGUAGACCCUUAGGAGCUUGUCAUGUGGUUAAAAUCAAGAUUCACUUGCACGUUGACUCAUACAUGCUGCUUCUACUCCGGAAGUACGCAUCCGCAUAUAUCCACCCAUUUCCAUCUCCAAAACCACCCAAAAAUACUCUACUCCUAAUACGGGAGAGAAUAGCCAAAAAUAUUUCUGUUUUCCCCUGUGAAAUAAAUGCUCAAGUUAUCUUGGUUACUACCACUUGCAACAUUAUUUCAAGAGAUGAGUGCUCUAAAAAAGAGAGAAAAAAGAUACGAGGAAAUAAAAAGGGGCAAGUGCCCGGAACCUCGAAAGAAAAAAAGUGAGACGAGAGGUAAAAAUGGACAAGUGUCCGAUAGUAGACAAGAUACCCACCUGAUAGGAAAGAAAAAGAAAAUACAGAGCAUCUCAUUCUCCCCAAAAGUUUCAAAAGAGCAAGGAAGGUAUGUAUCCCCUCAAAAGAGCAAAAGUAGAAUUAGACUUUCACCAUUGUUAUCACCAUCAUCACCAUACACCAUUCAUUCGUCACACAUGCACAUCUUGAUUUGACUUAUUGACUUAUUUCUCUGGAUCCAUGGUUUGACUAUACAAUAAAUGUCUUGUAAGUAUGUAUAUUUUAUCUCCCACCUAUGACAUCUAGGUAUCAAAGCCUUAUUAGAGUAGGGUGAU
rnacentral:lncRNA from 1 species